rnacentral:siRNA from 1 species
UAAGAAUAGCUACACAGACAAUGC